ACCCCCAAAUCAGUAACCCAAUUCCCCAUUUCCCUUUCCUUCCUUCUUCUUCGAGCAACCAGCAGCACCUUCAUCACCUUCCUCCUUCUUCUGAAAUUUCGAGUGCCUUCAAGCUAGAUUAAUCAUCUUCUCGUUAAUUCAACUGGUCCUUUUGUGUUCCCUUCUCUCUGUGCAGCAAAAUCAGUGGCGGCUUUCACCGAACGCGAACACCGCUUCUCACGGUGGUUCUACAACCAUUACCGGUGUUCCUUCUUCUUGUAUUUGUUGGUGUAAACAAACUAAGGAGGCGACUUUAUCGAAGAGCCCUUCUAAUAAUCGCGGGGUAGCAGACUUAGCCUCUUGAAGCGUUCUUUUUGCUGAUUACAGAUCGGAUUCGGUCGGGAAUAAUCGGGUUAGCAAAGUUGGAGAGAGUGCUAAGGAUGUCCUUUUGAGCCGAGCCCGUGGAAGCUUAUAGUUUGUAUUAGGAAUUUGUUUAAUGUAUAUUAGUUCUGAUUAGUUCUGAUUAUGUUGAUUAUAAUGGACUCGUUGUGAGUUGUAAGGUUACUAUAUGUUUAGAUUAGAUAUUUGGUUUGAGAGUUAGCUGUGUUGGUUCCGUAAUAGAGCUGGUGAUUCCUUUGCCCAGGUUUUGGGAUAUGAUUUAAGUUUCUUGGGAAAUAAUCCCCGUGACGACCCUGUUUACCCAGUCAACGGUAAGUCGGGUUGUUACAGUUGGUAUCAGAGCCAAACACGUGAAUUGAGGACCUUUGUAUGGGUAAUAAGGAUAUAGGAUAAGUGUGAGUUAGAGAAAGACACUAGGUGUGAAGUUAGAGAUUGGGUAGACGCUAGUUAGUAGAGUAUCGUGAAGCGGACGUUUGAUUCAAUUAUUGUUUCAUAGUGUUUCAUAUGCGUAUGUGUGCAUGUAUCUCUAUCGAGUUAUUUGUUGUUGUUAAAAUGUAUGAUCUUUGUUUAUUUGUGCACGUAUAGCGAUGGCUGAGAAUCGUGUGCCUCGUCUCGAGAGUUAUGAGACUAAGGAAGAGUCUAAGAGCUCCCAUGAUUCUGAGCGUACGGUUACGUCACAUGAGGCAUCUCAUGCGCGAUCCGAUCAUACUGAGACCUCUACACCUGUCGUUCCAGCUGCCGUCACAGCCGAAACAGUUUGAGACUAUGCUAAAGAUGUUCCACGCGCAGCAGCAACAAAAUCUUCUUCUACAACAGUAGGUGCUUCAGUCACUUAACGUCGGAUCUUCAAAGGGUAGUUCUGGGCACGAUUUAGGGGCAUCACAAGCAGAGGGUAUUCAAAGGUUAGCCCCUAAGACGUAUGAUGGCAAGGGUCCUCCUACUAAGCUAGACGAUUGGAUCCGGGAGAUGGAGAAGAUAUUCGCGAUACUGAAGACACCAGAGGAUAUGAGAGUAGAUCUAGCGGUUCAUUACCUAACCGGUGACGCCGAUACUUGGUGGGUUACUCAUAGAGAUGCUCUUCUAUCAGCUCCUUCCGCAGCUACAUUGGAGCACCCUUCUACCGUACCUCCUCUUCCCUGGAGCUUGUUUGUGUCAGCACUUCGCGACGAGUUCUUUCCUCUACAUCUUCAGCGAAGGAUGUUCGAUGAGUACUCUCGACUUACGCAGGGAACCCAGACCGUUCACCAAUACUACGUUCGAUUUAUGGAAUUAGCUAAGUAUGUGGACGACAUGAAGAUUGGGGAAAGAUUUAGGGCUCAAAGGUUCUUAUCAGGGUUAAGUCUGGAUAUCCGGGAACGUAUGAGGAACCUGGGACAUGAACAUGUUAGGGAUGUGUAUCACGAUGCCUGUGAGGCUGAACGCCUAUGGGAUGAGCGGAAGGCCACUCAAGGGCUGAAGCGACGCAGAGAGGACACCCAUGAUAUAUUACAAAACUUUGGGGGUAGACGAUUUCUAACACCUACACAGUCCCACCGAGAGCCAAGAUCUAGUUUCGGAAGAUCAACCUUGAGCACUCCUCAAAGUAGUAAGAAUAUCGAGUGUUAUCAUUGCGGGAAGAAGGGUCACAAGAGGGUUGACUGCUACAAGUACAUACGUGAGCAAGGUUUAAGAGGUACACCGCAAGGUCCAGCGCAGAAGCCGACCGGCAGUCAAGCUGGUGUGACUCAGGAUAGAAGGCAGGGUCAACCGCAGGCACCUUUUGGGCGUGGUUCGCAGAGUCAGGGGUCUGCUAUGGGAAGUUCAUCUAGACCAUCGGUCGGUACACCAAUUAGCGGCACCAAGGAAGCUUAUGACUCUCAAGAGAGAUGAAGCAGAGGAUAAACCAGGAGUUAUUACGGGAGGCGACUUUAUCGAAGAGCCCUUCUAAUAAUCGCGGGGUAGCAGACUUAGCCUCUUGAAGCGUUCUUUUUGCUGAUUACAGAUCGGAUCCGGUCGGGAAUAAUCGGGUUAGCAAAGUUGGAGAGAGUGCUAAGGAUGUCCUUUUGAGCCGAGCCCGUGGAAGCUUAUAGUUUGUAUUAGGAAUUUGUUUAAUGUAUAUUAGUUCUGAUUAGUUCUGAUUAUAUUGAUUAUAAUGGACUCGUUGUGAGUUGUAAGGUUACUAUAUGUUUAGAUUAGAUAUUUGGUUUGAGAGUUAGCUGUGUUGGUUUCGUAAUAGAGCUGGUGAUUCCUUUGCCCAGGUUUUGGAAUAUGAUUUAAGUUUCUUGGGAAAUAAUCCUCGUGACGACCCUGUUUACCCAGUCAACGGUAAGUCGGGUUGUUACAUCAACUGGCGAUGUAGAUUCCGCUUGAAUCGUGUCAUUGCAUUGUAUGAGCACCGAUCGGAUGCACUCAGCCUGUUUUUUAUCAUUAUAUUGUUAAAAGAGUCACUUAAAACUAUUACUAUAUGUUAUGAGUGUUGAAAGAAGACGAACCAGUAACGUAGAUGUCGGAUGGUAAUGUGAUCCUGGCAGCGCAAAUAUGGUGUUCGUUAGACGUAAUAUGGAGAUACGCCUGUACCAACUCAUGUACAUAGCAGAGCUAUGACCUGUGAAGUUAUCUCCUCGAACCAAUCUAGAUGCUCGGUCAUUCCACGCAUCUACAUGCAAUUACUGUAUUUAAUCCUCCAUUAUACCCAACAUCGGAUCCAGUUUAACUUACUUCCCCACCCCAAUAUACUAUAAUGGGAUAAUGAUUCAUAUUCUGCAAAUACAAACAUGUUUUUCAUAUGAUUUCACAUACACUUAAUUUUUGAUUGUGAGUAAGGGAAGUGUAAAUUUGAAUACAAGAAUUUGUGAUAUUACGGUAUUAGAACACUUAUUAGAAGGUUCAUUUCAAAUGUAAAAGGUAAAAAAACCAUGAAUAUAUUCUAAAACCAUUAAACUAACCCUACAAAGUAAUAAACUUUCAUUGAAACAUUUCAUCAAACACUUUAUAUGCGUACAAACCAAAUCCUAAAAUUCAACUACAAAUGUGUAAAAUGUAAGCUUAUAUCAUGAAAACAAGAGAAUGUAACAAACAAUCAACAU